rnacentral:lncRNA from 1 species
GGCGUCCUGCCGGCGGGGCGCCCCCGGCCUGAGACUCCCUGGAAGCCUCGUCCGCGAGUCGCGGACUCGGGGCCCGGAGGGCGACGGGAGGUCCUGCGCUGCGGUGCGGCUAUAGCGCCCGCGCUCCCCGCGGAAGAACCGCCGAGUCGAGCGCUGAAGGUGUGGCCCACCAGCAGGAGUGUCAGAACGUGCCGAGCCGCUCGAGUCGGAGUCGCCAGAACCCCCGGAAGACGAGCCGUUCACCGGCAGGCCAACUGGGGCUCCUUCGUGUAGUGGACUGUCAGCCAAGCGUCGGGAACGCAGUGUCGUGGGUGUGCGGCUGACCGGGUGAGGAGGAUCUUUCACAGAGACCGUGCCCCUCCGUGGAGUCCAGGAACAGGGCCUCAAACCUGCGUCCUCAUGGAUACUAGUCAAAUUUGUUUCCCCUGAGCCAGGACAGGAACUCCCUUCGAGGAUAUUUGUUUGUUUGAUUGUUUCAUUCUGCUUUUUUUUUUUUUCUAGGGCCACACCCACAGCGUGUGGAGGCUCACAAGCUAGGGGUCCAGUCGGAGCUGUCGCCGCCAGCCUAUACCGUAGCCACAGCCACGCAGGAUCUGAGCUGCAUCUGCACCCUACGCCACAGCUCACAGCAACACUGGAUCCCCAACCCACUGAACCAGGCCAGGGAUCGAAUUGCAACCUCAUGGUUCCUAGUCAGGUUCAUUAACCACUGAGCCAUGACAGGAACUCCGCUUCAAGGAUAUUUGGAAGCAUCUAUAUUUAUGGCCCAUCUCAGAAUGCAAAGGGUUUUAGAAAUGUAAACCUCUUUGCUUUUUGGAGUGUAAAUAUUUGGGGGCUUAGGAGUCUGAUGCAUCUGUGUGCGACAGAGCUGGUCUCAGCAGGCACCUCACUGGGCUCUCAUGAGGGGAUUUCUUUCACGGAACCGUCUUUGGUAUGUAGCAGGUGUUCGUAGGUGUUAGUCAUUGCCGUUACUGUCUGUAUCACUGCCAUCAUCAGAGCCUGACAAGGCAAGGCUUCCAGGCCUCGCACUGCCAUGAAAGAGUUGGGCGGAGCAAGGCCUGUGCGUUGGGUCUCUGAGCCUCAGUUCCUGAGUGGGCAACAUGAAAAUUGAUGCCCGCUUCAAGGGUUGCUGUGACCGUUACACCAGUGUGGAUGGGAAAGCAGUUGUUUCAAGAAGCAUCAAAGGUUAAUAAUACCUGGAACAUUUUCCAGAAGAAAGUUAAAUACAGGAUGGCCUGAUGCGUUCCCCAUAGGGUGUACUCUUCGCUUCCGUUUCAUUCGUGUUCAACAAGAUGCGCGUUCAGGCCAUGCUCCAUUUCUGCAGCAAAAAAGGCACUUUGCAGCCAUAUUCUUUGCACGUGAUGCUGAGUAGUAUUUCAGAGCCAGGCUUUAGAAACUUCAAGGCCUGGGAGUUCCUUCGUGGCUCUGGUUAACGAACCCGACUAGGAUCCAUGAGGACUCAGGUUUGAUCCCUGGCCUUGCUCAGUGGGUUAAGGAUCUGGCGUUGCUAUGAGCUGUGGUGUAGGUCACAGACAUGGCUUGGAUCCCAUCAUUUUGCUGUGGCUGUGGCAUAGGGUGGCAGCUGCAGCUCCGAUUUGACCCCUAUCCUGGGAACUUCCAUAUGCCUCUGGUAUGGCCCUAAAAAGACCAAAAAAAAAUUAGCAAAGGAGUUCCUGCUGCAGUGCAAUGAGAUUUAAGUGUCUGCAGCACCAGGACACAGGUUCAACUCCCUGCCCCUCAGAGAGGGCUAAAGGAUCCAGCAUUACCGAAGCUUCAGCGUAGGUCAGCUUCAACUGUGUCUCAGAUCUGAUCCAUGGCCCGGGAGCUUCAUGCGCUGCAAGGUGGCCAAAAAAUUUAAAAAGGAAAAAGUUCUUGUCGUGUCUCAGCAGUAACAAACCCGAUUAGUCAUGAGGAUGUGGGUUCAAUCCCUGGCCCGGCUCAGUGGGUUAACAUUCUGCUGUUGCCAUGGGCUGUGGUGUAGGUUGCAUAUGUGGUUUGGAUUUGAUCUCUAGUCUGGGAACUUCCAUAGCCCUCCAAAAAAAAAAAA